UAAAAUUUGAGGUUGGGGUAAAAGAUUCUAGAACAUAUGUCUCAAAUCAAUUUCUGGUGGGUCUCAUGUCCAAUCCAACUUUGGUCCGCAAUGUUGCACUUGUAGGCCACGUACAUCAUGGAAAGACGGUCUUCAUGGAUAUGCUGAUUGAGCAAACACAUCACAUGUCAACAUUUGAUAUUAAAGGAGAGAAACAUUUGAGGUACACAGAUACUAGGAUUGACGAGCAGGAGAGAGGAAUAUCAAUUAAGGCAGUUCCUAUGUCACUGGUCCUCGAGGAUGGCAAUUCAAAAUCGUACCUUUGCAAUAUAAUGGACACCCCUGGCCAUACCAAUUUUUCUGAUGAAAUGACUGCUGCUCUUAGACUUGCUGAUGGUGCAGUGUUGAUCGUAGACGCUGCUGAAGGAGUUAUGGUAAGUAAAUAAAUAUCAGUCCUAGUUUUUAUUUAUAUUUUUAGCUUUAUAUGCUCACUUUUAUAAUUUUUUCAUUGCUGCCAAGCAAUUAGAAACUUUCCGUUCUUUAUCAUCUAAGUGGUUUAAACAUCAAUUUAUAUCCCAAUUUACUUUUACCUGUGGCCGGGGCACCUCAUUUUAGAAUUAACCCUCUUCACCUAGGUUUUGGAUUCGUGCAAUCAUUUUACUGCGGAGUGUAACCAUUUAUUGAGUGUGGGUUGUUCGAUAUGCCUUGCAUGGAGGUUUUUUUUUUUUUUUUUUUAAAUAAUUUUUUUAUUAAUAUUAUUAUGGAAUUAUUGAUAUUGCUGUUUCAUAGAGAGAGCACUGAGGUUGGAAUAAAUGCAUGGUGGCAUUAAUGAGAAUGUAUUCUACAAUCGACAGGUCAAUACAGAGAGGGCUAUACGGCAUGCAAUUCAGGAGCGAUUGCCCAUUGUUGUUGUAAUUAACAAGGUUAGCCUUUUUUUAUUCUUUUUGAGUUUUCAUCAGAUUUUUGAAAGUUGGAUUCUCCCUCAAACACCACGUGUUAAUUUGUAUACUGAUACAUUAUUUGUAUCUAGGUUGACAGGCUGAUUACAGAACUUAAAUUGCCUCCAAGGGAUGCAUACUAUAAAUUAAGGCAUACGUUAGAAAUUAUUAAUAAUCAUAUAUCUGCUGCCUCAUCUACUGCUGGAAAUGUUCAAGUUAUUGACCCAGCCGCCGGAAAUGUGUGUUUUGCAAGUGCUACUGCAGGAUGGUCGUUUACUUUGCAAUCGUUCGCAAAGUUAUAUGUCAAACUUCAUGGAAUCCCUUUUGAUGCUGAUAAGUUUGCUACCCGUCUUUGGGGAGAUUAUUAUUAUCAUCCUGAUACCAGAGGAUUUAAGAAAAAACAGCCUGCAAGUGGAGGAGAAAGGUCAUUUGUUCAAUUUGUGCUUGAGCCACUAUACAAAAUAUAUAGUCAAGUCAUUGGUGAACAUAGGAAAAGUGUUGAGACUACUCUUGCGGAGCUUGGUGUUACUCUUAGCAAUGCAGCUUACAAGUUGAAUGUUAGGCCUUUGCUGAGACUGGCUUGUAGUUCAGUUUUUGGUGGAGCUUCAGGAUUCACUGACAUGCUUGUUCAGCACAUACCUUCUCCCAGGGAUGCUUCUUCUCGGAAGGUUGAU
rnacentral:lncRNA from 1 species